rnacentral:rRNA from 1 species
AACGAACGCUGGCGGCAGGCCUAACACAUGCAAGUCGAGCGGCAGCGGGCUGUAGCAAUACAGUGCCGGCGAGCGGCGGACGGGUGAGGAAUACAUCGGAAUCUACCUUGUCGUGGGGGGAUAACGUAGGGAAACUUACGCUAAUACCGCAUACGAACUACGGUUGAAAGCGGAGGACCGCAAGGCUUCGCGCGAUUGGAUGAGCCGAUGUCGGAUUAGCUAGUUGGCGGGGUAAUGGCCCACCAAGGCGACGAUCCGUAGCUGGUCUGAGAGGGUGAUCAGCCACACUGGAACUGAGACACGGUCCAGACUCCUACGGGAGGCAGCAGUGGGGAAUAUUGCGCAAUGGGCGAAAGCCUGACGCAGCCACGCCGCGUGAGUGAUGAAGGCCUUCGGGUUGUAAAGCUCUGUCGGGAGGGACGAAAGGAGCAAUCCUUGACGGUACCUCGCAAGAAGCACCGGCUAACUCUGUGCCAGCAGCCGCGGUAA